GAAUAGCAGCUCAAUGAGUAGGAAUAUUUCAAAUACGAAGAACAUUUCCACAUAACUUAGUAAAGACCGCACAGCAAUGUGGGUAAACUGUCGGACCUAAAUUAAUACGGUCGUGAGUUCGAACCCUAGCCAAAAUGUCAAAAUGUCUUUUUUUAAUUUAUAGGGAAUAUGUAUGACGUGUAUUAGUUAUUUGCAAUUAAUUAAAAUUAUUGUAUUAUUGUAUCGGCCAUUUUGUGGAGAGAUUGAGUUGAGGUCAGACGGUUGCAUUGUGUAAGGCGUCGUCGCUUCAAAGCUACUACUGUGUACAGACAUUUGUGAAUAAUUACUGUCAGUGAUUUAGUUUUGCUUUAAUUGUCUAAAGUAUAUUUUGGAUGUGUUGAGAAGGCCUCUUGAAACGCCUUCUCAGCACGAGGGAACUGUAUCACACUGUAUUCACAAACCUGAUCCCUGAGGGUCAGCUCCGAGCUAGCACUAUUGAAAGGCUUGGUAGGGUGCCUGCAGAACAUCUAAACGCAAACCCUCCUGGCGUCCAACAUUAGUUCAUAAGUAGAUUAGUGGUGUUUGCUGCAUCUUCUAAAUAAUGAUUCUUAAUUGAUUCAAUAAUAAUAAACUUGUGAAAUGGA